rnacentral:lncRNA from 1 species
ACACAGCAUCUACUCCAAUCCAAUUGCGCGGGAUUUGAGACUGCAUUAGUUAGGAAAGCAGAAAACCCGGUCUGAGUAGGGGCACAAGCCCCUUCCGGUCCGAGCAGCACCGGAGUAGCUAGGGUGCACAGGCGGCUGACUACCGCCAGCUACCCACAACACCGGCCAAGCGAUCUUAAGACUUCUGGUGAGUCCCGGGACUGGCGGGCAGUCUGCAGGUGAGAGUGAGGAAUACAGAGGCUAGCAGCUUCUGGGACAGGCGAGAGCUUCUGAGGCGGCGCCAUUUCCAGCCACCUUUGGGGCC